ACAGGUGAGGGCAAUCUGGCUGCAACAUUUGUCAGCCCACUGAUCAUCAGGGCUGACUAGGCAUCCUGCUGGCUAGGCAGGUGUCCCCCUUUCUCCCUCACCACUCCAUGUGCAUCCCACCCAAAGUUUCUCACUCUGGUUCCAUCAAAGGUAUAGGAGUAGCUAUGCUUCCCUGCUCGAACCUCCAAACAAGCUUUCCAUAAGAAUGAAUGAUUUGAUAACAUUUUAGAAGAAAUCAUUACCAUGUCUAAUUACCUCAUUUUUAAAUAUAUUUAUUUAUUUAUUAUU
rnacentral:snRNA from 1 species